rnacentral:rRNA from 1 species
UACGUAGGUGGCAAGCGUUGUCCGGAAUUAUUGGGCGUAAAGGGCGCGUAGGCGGCUCUGCACGUCCGUUGUGAAAUCGCCCGGCUCAACUGGGCGGGGUCAGCGGAUACGGCGGAGCUUGAGCAAGCUAGGGGGCAAUGGAAUUCCCGGUGUAGUGGUGGAAUGCGUAGAUAUCGGGAGGAACACCAGUGGCGAAGGCGGUUGCCUGGGGCUUUGCUGACGCUGAUGCGCGAAAGCGUGGGGAGCGAUCCGG